UUGCCGUGGCGCUCAGUGUUGUAUCCAGGAAACAUCUGAAGAUAGUCCUGGAAGAAGUUGGACUAUAUAGUGCUGUCCUCACUGACAAGGCCUCAUCGCUCAUCCUGAAAUUUAUGAAGGAACAUCAGCAGAGGAAAUGGGCGAUGGUGUGCAGUACUAUUUAUUUAAGCUACAGGAAAAUUAUUGAGGAGAACAACACAAUCAUCUUCCUGUACUUAGACGACAUCCUGGCCUUGGUCCUCCAACACUACCACAACUGCGUUGUGGAGAAGGAUAAGAACCUGCAGCAGGAUUACCUGGAUGCCCUGAC